rnacentral:tRNA from 1 species
UAGCUUAAGUGGUACAGUACUUGCCUAGUAUGCAUGAGGCCCUAGGUUCAAUUCCUAG